AUUAUUUUAAAUGUAAAUUGGUUUACCUAAUUAUUAUUAGUUAUGAUCUUUAAAAUUAAAAGAUUUGGCGGUAUUUUAGUCUAUUUAGAGGAACCUGUUCAGUAAUUGAUAUUCCACAAUAAACUAUACUUUUAUUAUUAAGUUUGUAUAUCGUCGUUAUUAGAAGAUUUUAUAAGAAUUUUAAAUUUUUAAUAUUUUUUAUUAGAAAAUAUAUCAGAUCAAGGUGCAGUUAUAUAUAAAAGGUUGAAAUGGGUUACAUUGAGAAGAACUUAUACGGAUUAUUUUAUGAUAAUAAUUUAUAAAGGGGGAUUUAAUAGUAAAUUUAUUUAUAUAGAUAUAUUGAUUAUAGCUCUAAAAUAUGU
rnacentral:rRNA from 1 species